CCCUUAGAUGUUCUGGGCAGCACGCGCGCUACAAUGGUCUUCGCAAACGGAUGCAUUCUCGAAGGAGAAUGCCAAUCUUGGAAUCUAUGCCUUGGUCGGGACAGUUGCUUGCAAUUUUUCGACUCGAACCAGGAAUUCCUUGUAAUCGUAAUUCAUCACAUCACGAUGAAUACGUCCCUGCCCUUUGUACACACCGCCCGUCGCUCCUACCGAUCGAAGAGUUAGGUGAAUUGUUUUGAUCGAUAAGAUUUGACUAUGGUCAACUCUCGUUGUGAAAUUCUGUGAAUCUGACUGUUUAGAGGAAGGAAAAGUCGUAACA
rnacentral:rRNA from 1 species